GAUGAACGCUGGCGGCGUGCCUAAUACAUGCAAGUCGAGCGAACAGACGAGGAGCUUGCUCCUCUGACGUUAGCGGCGGACGGGUGAGUAACACGUGGAUAACCUACCUAUAAGACUGGGAUAACUUCGGGAAACCGGAGCUAAUACCGGAUAAUAUAUUGAACCGCAUGGUUCAAUAGUGAAAGACGGUUUUGCUGUCACUUAUAGAUGGAUCCGCGCCGCAUUAGCUAGUUGGUAAGGUAACGGCUUACCAAGGCGACGAUGCGUAGCCGACCUGAGAGGGUGAUCGGCCACACUGGAACUGAGGCACGGUCCAGACUCCUACGGGAGGCAGCAGUAGGGAAUCUUCCGCAAUGGGCGAAAGCCUGACGGAGCAACGCCGCGUGAGUGAUGAAGGUCUUCGGAUCGUAAAACUCUGUUAUUGGGGAAGAACAAAUGUGUAAGUAACUAUGCACGUCUUGACGGUACCUAAUCAGAAAGCCACGGCUAACUACGUG
rnacentral:rRNA from 1 species